AGUGAACGCUGGCGGUAGGCCUAACACAUGCAAGUCGAACGGCAGCACAGUAAGAGCUUGCUCUUACGGGUGGCGAGUGGCGGACGGGUGGGGAAUACAUCGGAAUCUACUUUUUCGUGGGGGAUAACGUAGGGAAACUUACGCUAAUACCGCAUACGACCUACGGGUGAAAGCAGGGGAUCUUCGGACCUUGCGCGAUUGAAUGAGCCGAUGUCGGAUUAGCUAGUUGGCGGGGUAAAGGCCCACCAAGGCGACGAUCCGUAGCUGGUCUGAGAGGAUGAUCAGCCACACUGGAACUGAGACACGGUACAGACUCCUACGGGAGGCAGCAGUGGGGAAUAUUGGACAAUGGGCGCAAGCCUGAUCCAGCCAUACCGCGUGGGUGAAGAAGGCCUUCGGGUUGUAAAGCCCUUUUGUUGGGAAAGAAAAGCAGCAGGUUAAUACCCCGCUGUUCUGACGGUACCCAAAGAAUAAGCACCGGCUAACUUCGUG
rnacentral:rRNA from 1 species